AGCGGCGCUGGCGGAUCACGUGCUCACAACAGGCUCACGUGUUUCGACGCAGCGGCCUUUGAAGAAGGAGUCGAGAGAGAGAGGUGAAGCGACCAGAGGUAUACACACACAGCCUUGUUCUGGAUCUCUGGACACCCACUUACCGUAGCUUAAGAGGAACAAUUGCAAUGACUGCUUAAAACAUGUUACAGGUGAGGCAGUGGAAGUGCUGGAUCAGUGUCUUGCCUCGGUAAUGGACUGGAUGAGAGCCAACAAACUGAAACUCAAUCUAGAUAAGACUGGGGCACUUUUAGUGGGUGGUUCCCUAGACCAGAUGGCUGGGAGGUCACCUGUUCUUGAAGGUUACACUUCCUUUGAAGGAGCAGGUUCGUAGCUUGGUGGUACUCCAGAAUCCUUUGCUGUCGCUCGAGGCUCAGGUGGUCUCAGUGGCCUGGAGUGCCUUCCAUCAGCUUCGGCUGGUGGCCCAGCUACGCUCCUAUCUGGACAGGGAUAGCCUAACUACUGUUGUCUAUGCUCUGGUUACUCCAAGGUUAGAUCAUUGCAAUGUGUUAUACGUAGGGCUGCCUCUGAAGACGGUUCGGAAACUUCAGGCCAGGUUGCUCACCGGAGCAAGACAGUUUGAGCAUAUUACACCGAUCCUGGUCCGACUGCACUGGCUACCAAUUAGUUUCUGGGCCCGAAUCAAAGUGCUGGUUUUGACCUAUAAAGCCUUGAAUAGUUUAAGACCACAAUACCUCAAGGGCCGCCUCUUUCCAUAUGAACCUACCUAGAUCCUGAUAUCAUCUUCCGAGGCCCUCCUUCGUGUCGAGGGUGGCAACAUGAGAACGGGUCUUCUCUGCAGUGGCUCCCCAUCUGUGGAAUGCUCUCCCCAGAGAAGUUCGCCUGGCACCUUCAAUGUACACUUUUAG